rnacentral:rRNA from 1 species
AUUGAACGCUGGCGGCAUGCCUUACACAUGCAAGUCGAACGGCAGCAUAGCAGCUUGCUCCUGAUGGCGAGUGGCGAACGGGUGAGUAAUAUAUCGGAACGUGCCCUAGAGUGGGGGAUAACUAGUCGAAAGAUUAGCUAAUACCGCAUACGAUCUAAGGAUGAAAGUGGGGGAUCGCAAGACCUCAUGCUCGCGGAGCGGCCGAUAUCUGAUUAGCUAGUUGGUGGGGUAAAAGCUCACCAAGGCGACGAUCAGUAGCUGGUCUGAGAGGACGACCAGCCACACUGGGACUGAGACACGGCCUAGACUCCUACGGGAGGCAGCAGUGGGGAAUUUUGGACAAUGGGGGCAACCCUGAUCCAGCAAUGCCGCGUGAGUGAAGAAGGCCUUCGGGUUGUAAAGCUCUUUUGUCAGGGAAGAAACGGUGAGAGCUAAUAUCUCUUGCUAAUGACGGUACCUGAAGAAUAAGCACCGGCUAACUACGUGCCAGCCGCCGCAGUAA